CCUACGGGAGGCAGCAGUAGGGGAAUAUUGGACAAUGGACGCAAGUCUGAUCCAGCCAUCCCGCGUGAAGGAUUAAGGCCCUAUGGGUUGUAAACUUCUUUUCUUUGGGAAUAAAAAGCGGUAUUCAUAUCGCCUUGAAGGUACCAGAGGAAUAAGCACCGGCUAACUCCGUGCCAGCAGCCGCGGUAAUACGGAGGGUGCAAGCGUUAUCCGGAUUCACUGGGUUUAAAGGGUGCGUAGGUGGCUUUGUAAGUCAGCGGUGAAAGCCUGGAGCUCAACUCCAGAAUUGCCAUUGAUACUGCAGAGCUUGGAAUCAAGUUGAGGUGGAUGGAAUAUUACAUGUAGCGGUGAAAUGCUUAGAUAUGUAAUAGAACACCGAUUGCGAAGGCAGUUCACUAAGCUUGUAUUGACACUGAGGCACGAAAGCGUGGGGAUCAAACAGGAUUAGAUACCCUGGUAGUACCACGCCCUAAACGAUGCAAACUCGACAUUAGCGAUAUACAGUUAGUGUCCAAGCGAAAGCGUUAAGUUUGCCACCUGGAAGUACGACCGCAAGGUUGAAACUCAAAUGAAUUGACGG
rnacentral:rRNA from 1 species